CCUACGGGAGGCAGCAGUGAGGAAUAUUGGUCAAUGGGAGAGAUCCUGAACCAGCCAAGCCGCGUGAGGGAAGACGGCCCUAUGGGUUGUAAACCUCUUUUGUCGGAGAACAAAACCCGGGACGUGUCCCGGACUGCGUGUAUCCGAAGAAAAAGCAUCGGCUAACUCCGUGCCAGCAGCCGCGGUAAUACGGAGGGUGCGAGCGUUAAUCGGAAUUACUGGGCGUAAAGCGCUCGUAGGCGGUAUGUCAAGUCAGAUGUGAAAUCCGGGGGCUCAACCCCCGAACUGCAUUUGAAACUGUUGGUCUUGAGUAUCGGAGAGGCAGGCGGAAUUCCUAGUGUAGCGGUGAAAUGCGUAGAUAUUAGGAGGAACACCAGUGGCGAAGGCGGCCUGCUGGACGACAACUGACGGUGAGGCGCGAAAGCGUGGGGAGCAAACAGGAUUAGAUACCCGUGUAGUC
rnacentral:rRNA from 1 species